UUAUCCCUUUGGCCCGGCCUCUGCUGUGAUGUUCCGAUCUGGUCAGCGCUGCUUACUUUGGCACUGGAGGGAGUCUGUUUCUGCUAAGCGACUCGCGGUUGUUAUGGAGCUCAGCGCGCCUGCAUGGAAAAGGGACGUCUGCAAAACAAAAACAAGCCGGGGAAAGAUCAACACAUGAUAGGAUAAAAGGGAAACGUAAAUGCAACUCAUCUGGGCUCGAGGAGAAGCGGCUCAAGGCUACGCCAUUUCAGACAGUGUCAGGCAGACUGUUGCUGCAGCCAGCUCUCAAACAGCAAAGAGGGAACAAUAGAGAGCAGCAAUGGAGGCCGAUGAAAAUGUAACGGCGGUCAUCUUUUACUUUUACUGCAGUCUCACGCUGAACUCAACGGCGACUGAACGACAGCACUUGGACGGAGGAGGGUGAAAAACUGUGUACACACCAACAAACGAAACAUCAACGCGCAUCAAAGCGCCGCGCUGCAAAGUAAUGUCGU